ACGAAUUUUUCCCAUAUAAGCAAGCACCAAUUCAUUCACAAUGAAGAGAGAUAAUUUCUAAGAAGAAAAAAAAUAAGAAGCCUAUACAGGUGACGAGAUUUCCAUAUCUAAAUCAUCAACAUAGCAUCAGAGUGAAGACAUUGAACAAAUUUUCCAACGUUACCCUCCUAGCUACACACAAGACAAAACUUCAUCUCAACUGUACACAUGUUUGUAAUUGAGUGGAAUUACAUAAAAAAAAUCAAGCUAAACAAUCCCAUAAAUGGUGGGGUUUAUGAUGUUUUGCUUAUGGUUUUGGUGUUUCAGCUACAACAAUAUCAAUGGAGGGAUUGAAGGUAUCUAAUGCAGAAUUGGUGUUGUAUUUCUAACCAUCAAAGUGCAUCAGAGGACAUCUUUUGUGAACUAAGUUCAAUUCUUUUUAAUAUAUAGUCUUAAUUUAAUGUAAUUUAUUGAACUUGACUAUGUUUUCAUGUAAUUCUAGAUCAUUGGUUAAAAAUAGUAUAUACAUGAAAGUAAAUUGAUGUCUAUACAUCAAUCGUUAAAAAAAAAAAACAUGAUGCCAAUACAAAUAAUAAUACAAUAUACAAUAUAA